CGUCCUACGGGAGGCAGCAGUGGGGAAUAUUGCACAAUGGGGGGAACCCUGAUGCAGCGACGCCGCGUGGGUGAAGGAGUACUUCGGUACGUAAAGCCCUAUCAGCAGGAAAGAAAAUGACGGUACCUGACUAAGAAGCCCCGGCUAACUACGUGCCAGCAGCCGCGGUAAUACGUAGGGGGCAAGCGUUAUCCGGAUUUACUGGGUGUAAAGGGAGCGCAGGCGGCCUGGCAAGCCUGAUGUGAAAUACCGGGGCCCAACCCCGGGGCUGCAUUGGGAACUGCCAGGCUGGAGUGCCGGAGAGG
rnacentral:rRNA from 1 species